rnacentral:lncRNA from 1 species
UCAAUUUUGGUUAUUCAAAUAAUUCUAGAAUUAUCACAUGCUCUCAGAAUGAUCUAUCUAAAUAACAGAAUUCCUAUUUAAAAAAGUAUAUAUUUAAACUUUUUUUAUACUUGUUAUCAAUAAGUAAGAUCAGUUGUUUUUGCUUUUUAUUUAUUCAAAUUCCCUGAUCAAAUCCUCCAUUUGCAUAACACAUUUCUAUCUUCAGUUUAACAUCAAUUUCAGUGCUUAAUAAUAAAUAAGGCGCACAAUCUUCUCUAGCUGUACUAGAAUCUUCAUGUUAUUUUGUGAUAAUUUGUGUGCUGCUAUAUUGGACAAAAUAUUCAGAAAAAUUAAAGUUUAAGCAAACUAUAUAAAAAAAGCCAAUUUUGGAACAAAACAAAGCUAUUUCAGGAUAUUAAUGGAAACAAUUUAUUUAAAAUUUGAAAAAUAAUAAUAACAAAUCUCUUCAAAUAAGAGAUUCUCGGAUUCAGAAUUACAUUGCUGUUGUAAAUACAUAGGAAACCAAAGCAAAUCGAUUAUUCAAAUUUAAUUUAUUUCAAUAAAAACAAAACUGUAAAUGUUUGUGCUUUCAGGUGAUCUUUGUUAACCUUAACCGUAUUCAUGUUCUAACUUUGAUUAAGGUCGCCAACUAUUUGAAAUACUCACUAAAGUCCUUAGUGACUCAUAAAUCCUAUUAUGAGUCACUAAGACUCAUAAAUACAUUUCUGAAGGAAACUGUUAGGUUGGUAGGAAAAAAACUAUUUUAACUACUUUAGUCAUAUAUGGCAUUGUUCUCUAAUAUUCACACAUAAAAUAUAACACAAAAAUUAAAACUAGAUUGACUAGUAAAAGCUCCAGAUUUUAAUCAUAUGAUCUUAUACACUAAACAAAGACGAAUUAAUGAAUGUUCUGAAUGUUGCUUAAUUUGCACAUGGUCUUCUUUUAUGAUAACUACAUCUUCUUAUUCUAUCCCAGAUGGCAUUUGCAGCCGCGGAGACUGUUCCAUCCUUUGUCUCUUCCAGCACUCUCAUCAGAGGCACUUUACGACGAGGUCCAAGGAAAAGGAGAGGCAUGUGCUAGUUCUCCCACUUGAAAAACACGGGUGCCAACAGCAGCUAAAACGACUGUGGGGCCAGUUCUCUUUUUUAACCGCUUUUUAAAAAUAAGAACAACAAAAGACGACAAUGUUUAAUGUUCAGCUUCAG